ACUUAAGUAGUUUAAUUAGAAUAUUAAUUUGUGGUAUUAUUGGUGCCCUUGGCCUUAAGUU
rnacentral:tRNA from 1 species